rnacentral:lncRNA from 1 species
GUUCGAAGUUGCCUUCUCUGUAUUUUUAAUUUCGUAAAGUUGUCUGAUUUAAAAUUAUAUUUGAAAUAACUGUGUGCAGUGUCUUCUUUUAUAAUAUGUAUAUUGUAGCCAAACUAUGUUCAACCAUUUGACAACAUUUCCUUUAAUAUCAGUUUUUUUUAUUUUUAAUCAUUUGAAUUUGAAGUUCUUUAAAAUUCAAAAUGUCUUCCUGAUCUAUUUCAACUACUUCGUAUUUUGAUUUCUUUAAAGCCAUUUUAAUCACUGUAUAUAUAUCAUCCUGAUGGAUCAUAAAUUUCCAAGCCUUUACUCGCGUUUUCGAUGUGGGCAUGGACCAUAUCACGUUCCAUUUGGGAAUAUCCGGGCUCAAAAAAUAACUGGUCGAUUUUUGAAAUAUUUAAAA